UACGGAGGGUGCAAGCGUUAUCCGGAUUCACUGGGUUUAAAGGGUGCGUAGGUGGGCAGUUAAGUCAGUGGUGAAAUCUCCGGGCUUAACCCGGAAACUGCCAUUGAUACUAUCUGUCUUGAAUACCGUGGAGGUGAGCGGAAUAUGUCAUGUAGCGGUGAAAUGCUUAGAUAUGACAUAGAACACCAAUUGCGAAGGCAGCUUACUACGGAUUGAUUGACACUGAGGCACGAAAGCGUGGGGAUCAAACAGG
rnacentral:rRNA from 1 species